rnacentral:rRNA from 1 species
GAUGAACGCUAGCGAUAGGCCUAACACAUGCAAGUCGAGGGGCAUCACGGAGUAGCAAUACUUUGGUGGCGACCGGCGCACGGGUGAGUAACGCGUAUGCAAUCUACCUACAACAGGGGGAUAACCCGGAGAAAUCCGGACUAAUACCGCAUAACACAGGGGUCCCGCAUGGGAAUAUUUGUUAAAGAUUUAUCGGUUGUAGAUGAGCAUGCGUUCCAUUAGGUAGUUGGUGAGGUAACGGCCCACCAAACCUGCGAUGGAUAGGGGAACUGAGAGGUUUGUCCCCCACACUGGAACUGAGACACGGACCAGACUCCGACAGGAGGCAGCAGUGAGGAAUAUUGGUCAAUGGGCGAGAGCCUGAACCAGCCAAAUCGCGUGAAGGAAGACUGCCUUAUGGGUUGUAAACUUCUUUUGUACAGGAAUAAAAAGAGGGACGUGUCCUUCAUUGCAUGUACUGUACGAAUAAGCAUCGGCUAACUCCGUGCCAGCAGCCGCGGUAA